AGAUUCUUGUUGGGAAAAUGUCUUACAUGGAGGUUACUUUCAUAGCAAAACAUAUCAACCUGCUAAACAGACUACAGAUUCAUUGUUGGGAAAAUGUCUGACCAAAACAUGUCAGGCAUCUGAAUUUUGUACAAAC